AUUGAACGCCGGCGGCAUGCCUUACACAUGCAAGUCGAACGGCAGCACGGGAGCAAUCCUGGUGGCGAGUGGCGAACGGGUGAGUAAUAUAUCGGAACGUGCCCAGUCGUGGGGGAUAACGUAGCGAAAGCUACGCUAAUACCGCAUACGAUCUAUGGAUGAAAGCGGGGGAUCGCAAGACCUCGCGCGAUUGGAGCGGCCGAUAUCAGAUUAGGUAGUUGGUGGGGUAAAGGCUCACCAAGCCGACGAUCUGUAGCUGGUCUGAGAGGACGACCAGCCACACUGGGACUGAGACACGGCCCAGACUCCUACGGGAGGCAGCAGUGGGGAAUUUUGGACAAUGGGCGCAAGCCUGAUCCAGCAAUGCCGCGUGCAGGAUGAAGGCCUUCGGGUUGUAAACUGCUUUUGUACGGAGCGAAAAGGCUCUCUCUAAUACAGGGGGCUCAUGACGGUACCGUAAGAAUAAGCACCGGCUAACUACGUGCCAGCCGCCGCCGUAACAC
rnacentral:rRNA from 1 species